UCCUUGGGAGAAAGCCCCUGAAGCGUAGACCUUUCGAGCCCGUGACCCGGGUUCAAAUCCCGGCCGCGGCA
rnacentral:tRNA from 1 species